rnacentral:rRNA from 1 species
GAUGAACGCUAGCGGCAGGCUUAAUACAUGCAAGUCGUGGGGCAGCAGGUUUGUAGCAAUACAGAUGCUGGCGACCGGCAAACGGGUGCGGAACACGUACAGAACCUUCCUUGAGCGGGGAAUAGCCCAGAGAAAUUUGGAUUAAAUACCCCAUAGUAUAAUGAAGUGGCAUCACUUUAUUAUUAAAGAUUUAUCACUCGAAGAUGGCUGUGCGGCUGAUUAGGUAGUUGGCGGGGUAAAGGCCCACCAAGCCUGCGAUCAGUAACUGGUGUGAGAGCACGACCAGUCACACGGGCACUGAGACACGGGCCCGACUCCUACGGGAGGCAGCAGUAAGGAAUAUUGGUCAAUGGAGGCAACUCUGAACCAGCCAUGCCGCGUGGAGGAUGAAGGUCCUCUGGAUUGUAAACUUCUUUUAUAUGGGACGAAAAAAGGCUUUUCUAAGUCGUCUGACGGUACCAUAUGAAUAAGCACCGGCUAACUCCGUGCCAGCAGCCGCGGUAA